UUGAACGCUGGCGGCAUGCCUUACACAUGCAAGUCGAACGGUAGAGGGGCAACCCUUGAGAGUGGCGAACGGGUGAGUAAUAUAUCGGAACGUGCCCAGUCGUGGGGGAUAACGCAGCGAAAGCUGCGCUAAUACCGCAUACGAUCUAUGGAUGAAAGCGGGGGAUCGCAAAGACCUCGCGCGAUUGGAGCGGCCGAUAUCAGAUUAGGUAGUUGGUGGGGUAAAAGCCCCACCAAGCCGACGAUCUGUAGCUG
rnacentral:rRNA from 1 species